rnacentral:rRNA from 1 species
ACUCAAAGGAAUUGACGGGGGCCCGCACAAGCGGUGGAGCAUGUGGUUUAAUUCGACGCAACGCGAAGAACCUUACCAAGGCUUGACAUGGGCGCGCCAUGUGCAGAGAUGCACAGUUUGCGCAAGCAACGCGCCACACAGGUGGUGCAUGGUUGUCGUCAGCUCGUGUCGUGAGAUGUUGGGUUAAGUCCCGCAACGAGCGCAACCCUUGCCCUUAGUAGCCAUCACGUAGAGGUGGGUACACUAUGGGGACUGCCGUGGAGAACACGGAGGAAGGCGGGGACGACGUCAAAUCAUCAUGCCCCUUAUGUCUUGGGCUACACACGUGCUACAAUGGGCGCAACAAAGUGAAGCAAGACUGCGAAGUGGAGCGAAUCACGAAAGACGCCCUCAGUUCGGAUUGUAGGCUGCAACCCGCCUGCAUGAAGUUGGAAUCGCUAGUAAUCGCGAAUCAGCAUGUCGCGGUGAAUACGUUCCCGGGCCUUGUACACACCGCCCGU